rnacentral:rRNA from 1 species
UCCCGUUGAUCCUGCGGGAGGCUGCUGCUAUUGGGGUUCGACUUAGCCAUGCAAGUCCGGGGGUAGCAAUACACCGGCAGAAUGCUCAGUAACACGUCGAUAAUCUGCCCUUAGGUCAGGGAUAAUCUCGGAAAACUGAGGCUAAUACCUGAUAUGGGAUUGAUUCUGGAAGGAACUUUCCCUGAAACUCGCGCCUAAGGAUGAGUCGGCGGUCGAUUAGGUUGUUGGCGGGGUAAUGGCCCACCAAGCCAAAGAUCGGUACGGGCCUUGAGAGAGGGAGCCCGGAGAAGGACACUGAGGUACUGGUCCUAGCCCUACGGGGUGCAGCAGGCGCGAAACCUUUACAAUGCACGAAAGUGUGAUAAGGGAACCCCAAGUGCUUAUGCUUUGCAUAGGCUUUUGCCAAGGGUAAACUCCUUGGCGAAUAAGUGGUGGGAAAGACUGGUGCCAGCCGCCGCGGUAACACCAGCGCCACGAGUAGGAGCCGCGUUUAUUGGGCCUAAAGCGUCCGUAGCCGAAUCUGUAAAUCUUCUGUGAAAUCACUGAGCUUAACUUAGUGAAUUGCAAGAGACACUGCAAAUUUAGGGACCGGUAGGAGUCAGAGGUAUGCUUGGGGGAGCGGUAAAAUGUGAUAAUCCCUUGCAGACCACCUGUGGCGAAGGCGUCUGACCAGGACGGAUCCGACGGUGAGGGACGAAAGCUAGGGGAGCGAUCCGGAUUAGAUACCCGAGUAGUCCUAGCUGUAAACGCUGUGGGCUAGGUGUUGCACAAUCUUCGGGAUUGUGCAGUGUCGAAGCGAAGGAGUUAAGCCCACCGCCUGGGAAGUAUGGUCGCAAGGCUGAAACUUAAAGGAAUUGGCGGGGGAGCACCACAAGGGGUGCGGCGUGCGGUUCAAUCUAACUCAACGCAGAGAAUCUCACCAGUAGCGACGGCAGAAUGAAAGUCAGUCUGAAGGGCUUACUAGACAAGCCGAGAGGUAGUGCAUGGCCGUCGUCAGCUCGUGCCGUGAGGUGUCCUGUUAAGUCAGGCAACGAGCGAGACCUGUAUCCACAAUUGCCAGCAUCUCAUUAGUGAGGAAUGGGCACAUUGUGGGGACUGCCCUGGAAACAGGGAGGAAGGUGCAGGCAACGGUAGGUCUGUAUGCUCCGAAUCUACUGGGCAACACGCGCGCAACAAUGGUAUGGACAAUGGGAUGCAACUCCGAAAGGAGACGCUAAACCUCUAAACCAUAUCUUAGUCCAGAUCGAGGGUUGUAACUCACCCUCGUGACGAUGGAAUCCCUGGUAAUCGGACUUCAACAUGGUCCGGUGAAUAAGUCCCUGCUCCUUGCACACACCGCCCGUCAAACCAACCGAGCAGGGUUUAGGUGAGUGUUCGUUUUUUUGACAACCACAAACCUAGGCUCAGUGAGGUGGGUUAAGUCGUCACAAGGUA